UGUGAGGAGCUGCACAUGAGAACGAAGGGAUGGGAGUUUUUGCAAUGAGAUGACAACUCAUGGGAGCUGGGAAAUAAUUUACUCAUCCAGGAUAUUUCCUGCCACAUUUAAGGACCUGAAACACAUUCUUAGCUAAGCAAUGAGGGAAAUAGUGGAGGUAGUACUUAUGAGAGGACUAUUUUUUCCCAGCCCAAGCUGUUGGGGUGGAAUUGGGGUGCCCCUCAGGGCAUCCAACUGUACUGGAGGCAGCUGUGAGAUUCCUCCUUGCCUACACACCUGAAAAGACUCAUGGAUCCUCCAUUUCCAGUAUUUAUUCAGACAUGAAGGGGUUUUUUUCUCUCUCAAGGCUCACAUCUGCCCUCCUUUUUUUGUGCGCAGUUGCAGUCCUUUAGGAGUACACGACAACUGUGUGCAAGGCAGGCAAGAAAAGGUCUGAGCCUGACAUCAGAAUCCAUCAGACUGCACAGAACAUGUCAGUUGCUCUCUAACCCCCAGAGAACCCAACAUGGUCCUGUUUGUCUCCCAAGAAGCCUGGAAUCCUACUCCUCUUGCAUGUGACUCCAAGGAGCCCCAAUCCAAUGUAAGCAAGUCAGGCUUUAGUUCCACAUAAGCAGCAGAGGCAGAGUACCAUGGACUUCAGGACUCCAGCAUUAACUCUGGUAGCUAACAACUGCUCAAUGUCACUUCCAUAAACCCUCCUGGAACAAAUCAUACACAAUUUUCGCAGAUCCAGGGGCAAUGUCUGCAGGCCAGUGAAGAUGGGAUUGGCUCUACAUCUGGAUUGGGGAUGGUCACCUGCAACCGCCUCUGUGCUCGGACAACACUGCCUUGUCUCAGAGCCCAUCCUCUUCCAUCCCUCCUGUUAGGCAGAUAUGUUUUCUGGCUCAGACUUCAGACCAGCAAAGUGCUCUACACCCUUUUGAAAGGAAACAGCAGAUUUCCUCCAUGCUUUGGGAUUCAGCACAGGCUGCAGUUUUCAAGAUGAGUAGGUGCCCUGCCUGCAUGGCACAGACCAGUGCCCCGUUAUGUGCCACUUGUCACCUGCAUCACGCCUGCACAGCAUGCUGCGGCUCAAGAGGAGUCACAGAGUGAUGUGGGACAAUGGUGGGGGAGUUCCCAAGCCAUCACAAAGUUGGGGCAGGAAAAGGAGAGCGAGAGAAAGUGUGAAACUGGCAGCAGGUGGCAAACCGGUAUGCAAUUCCCAGCAGAGACAAGUCUGACGGACGAAGUGUGGAGAGGGGAUUUAUCCCCUCCUCCUCCUCCCUGCAGGCCCCAGAAUAAGUUAAACAAGGCGUCAGAUGUUUCUAUUUUAAGAAUAACCAGGAAGGCUGGCACUACAAAAGGAAAAGGAGGGGAGGGCAGAAGUUGUCUAGUAUAAUUAGCAACACGUUUUCCUGCCUGCCUUCCAGAGAGCGUGCCCCCUUCCAGCAAGCCAGGGUCUGCACAGCAUAAAUUAUUGCUGUCUAAAUUUGAGCCUGUGCUGCUGCUUCUGCCAAGUGUUUACUCCUGAAUGCUAUAUUUUUUCAGCCGCAGAUGACACUGGGUGACAUGUGUCAUCACAGUACGUGCCCCUGGAAAACAGGCACUGUGAAAUUGCUCUGACAUUCUCCAAGAAGGGCUGCUCACGUGUGCAGAGACGGGAGUCAGAAGGUCUUGGUGAAGAGACGAGUCUGUCCCAGUGGGGCAAAACCAGACAAUGGGCUGGGCAAGAUCCCUGCUGCACGUGGCACUGAGUUCGUGGGUCACCCCUGAACUCUGCUUGUAAGAAGAUAAGAAUUCUGGGCUCCUUCUGCUUCAGCUAGCUCUGCACUGCCGCUUCCCCCGUGAAUGAGACCUGUGCCCCUCAUGGCAGCGAGUAAAGCCACAGCUUCAUCAUCUGUCACAGGCUCCAUAAUAACCAGAAGCUGCAUCAGGCACGGCACAGUGAUUGUGCACCCCUAGCAGCGGCUGCAAGGGUGAAAGAGGUGCUGUAUAAAUAUUUCACAACUAUUUUCUUUCUCCCAAGACCAUGUUACCAUGAAUUCUUUCUGGCCACAUGUCCUCUACCUCAGCAAGUCCAGAGCUCUUGAAACACAUUGGAUGAUCCCUUUUUGGUCAUAUUCAGACUGCUGAAAGUCCAGGUCUGUGCAGCGUGAUUGACAAACCAAACCGCUCAAAUAGUCAGUUUUUGUUGUGGCAGGCAAUAGAAUUUUAUGGCUGCGGAUGCAGUGGCUGUAUUCUGCCAUUGAAACAAAGAGCUCUGGGCUUGGCACACUCACGUGGUUCCUAAUCAGCUUUGGCCUUCACUUACAGGUUUCUGUUCAACCUAAAGCACACAGAUUAAAAUAAACCACACAUUAAAAGAGAAGGCUUUAUAACCGCAAUUAGGGAAAAAUGUUUUAUGUUGGUAUCUUUAGCCUGGCAUGUCAAGGUUAGAAAUGUUCUUGUUUCAUUGCUCUGACAACAUAUGGCCAAAGUCAACAAGAGGCUGAUGUGAGAGUUUGAUAUAUUGCAGCCCAGAAUGAUCUCAUCUUUGGCAGGUCAUGGGAUCAGAGCAUGAAGCAGUCAGAUAUGAUCCACAUUAGGUACUAUGUCAGUGUGAAAGUGUACGGGUCUGUCACUGUGAUCACGGAUAGAAAGCCAAAGCGUGAUGAAGGUCAGGCUGUUGGGGCAGCCAAACCUGUGACAGCCCACCCUGUGUGGUGCCACUGGUAGAGGAAAGCCACUUGUCCCCAGAUGCCUCUCACUGCCAUCAGCAUUGCUGUGCUUUGCAGCUCAGGUUCACCCAGCACACCUGUCUGCUCUGAGAGCACACAGCAAAUGGAGCAGGACAUCUGUGCCAGGGAGCUGGCUUCUGCCAUCUUCUGCUAUUUUUACAUGGUGGCUGUGAAAGCUUCCAAAACGAGACGCAUUGCCACAAUUAAACCGAGCGCGUUUAAUAGCAAACUCCAUUGCAAAUUGCAGAGUGAAGCCACUUCAUAUUUCCAUGGGGCUUGCUAGAAAAAUAGCUCCAAUUAAUGAGGCACAUUGUAGACUUGUUUAUAUUCAGCUGACUCUGUUUAAGCACCAAAUUAUCUGUGUGUGAUUAUGAGGCCAAAUUCACCCUAUAAUUUUUCAUUUAUCAUUAUUUUACUGCCUGGCCUGUUCUGCUGAGCUGAGGAGUUAUUCAUGGAGCAAAAUCUCCCUG